rnacentral:snRNA from 1 species
GGAUGUGAGGGCGAUCUGGCUGUGACAUCCGUCACUCCGCUGAUCGCCAGGGUGACUCGGCUGACCUGGCUGCCUAGGGGUCUUUGCCCUUCCUCCCUCACCACUCCAUGGGUAUCCCUUCUGAAGCUGCGAGCUCAGGUGAAGAGACGACCAUCCCUGAUAGAGAAGGAUCAGGCUUCGGUCAAGGGUGUACAAGCAGCUGUGCUCCCUUACUAGAACCUCCAAGCAAGCUCUCAAGGCAAUGCUGAUCAGCAGCCACUGGGCCAAGCGUGCACCAGCGCAGCAGAGUGCAGCUGGGCACA